UUCCUAUCCCCUGAAAUGAUCUUUCAAACCCAGGUUCAAGUGCAAACCAAGUAGUGCUCUGUGACUGGGUUCAAGAACAUCAUAAGCUGACAACCAGACAGAAGCAGGGACUCAAGACAAUCUAUGGAAAGUCUUGCGAUGUCUGCCAGAUCCAUUCCUGUACCUCAAGCAGACACUGCAAGAAACCCAAGGAGAACCGAGCAACCACCUGUCUGUAUGAUGCAUCUCAAGUCCACAUAGGGGACGCCUACAGCCCUUAUGACUGCAUCGCAUCUCACUCACGUUGCACCAUGCGGCAUGGACACAAGUGCAAGUGGCAGAAGAACAAUGACUACCAUAAGUGUGUCAAACACCAGCUUCCUUGAAUAGAGGGACACUGAUGUACCCCUGGCCCUGGUAGGAGGGCAACUCCUGUACCCAUAUUCCAAGAGUAUGAUAUUUCAAAGAGUUUACCCAAGGACUUUAUCAAAUUUGCCAACAAGUUUGUAUUUCUUUAUUCUUCAGUUCAACUAAAUGAUACAAAGUUUAUCACAGAAAUACAUAUCAAUUAGUCUAAAUAGAGAAUGAAUAUAUAUUAUCUCCGUAAUUAAAGAAUUUAUGCUGUGAAUAUUGUAAGACAUAGUAAAAUGAUAUACUGGUAACCAUCAAAGUGGAGUGUAUAGUACAAGAUACUAUGAAAAUGCUACAAUGUAGAGAGUGGCCAAAUAGUCAUCUUCCUGGUCAUUUUCUGGAAAUAUUUGAAUCCUAUAUGAUGUUUUUUUGUACAAAUAAAUAUACUAAGGCAUAUUUAACAACAUUUGCAAUGCUAACUUAGUUACUUUCCUAGUAAUUUACUUUUGAAAUGUUUCUUAAACCUGUUUGUUAAAGAUGCGUUAGAGUGAGCUCAGGCGAGACGAAUCCGUCUCCCUUUUUCUUGGGCAUAUUAUAUGCUAUUGCAGGGAUAACUGCUAUGAAACCACCAAAGUACAACCAUCACUAUCAAUCAAGUAUAUAAAUAAACUUACAAAUAUACCCCUAAAAAUCAUCCAUGAAUAUUAAAAAAUUUCUUCUUAUUUGUCUUUCACUUUCAGAGAAUAAAACUUUCCACAAAACUGCACUAUGCAUCAAUAAAACCAGUUUCAGGCUCAUUUUAAUUCCCACUCCCUGAUAAAAUGCCAGCUUUAUGUUUUUUAAACAAAUUUGUGAGGCUAACCACCAAAUAUAUCAAUAAAGUUGAAUAAUCAUUCCUCUAGUUCCUCAAAUUUUCUAUAUUUCACUGACAUUCUUAUUAGAAAAAGUAUAAAUCCAGGUGUGUAAUAACAUAUCUCUAUCUUAAUAAAUCAUAUAAAUAAUAUGUGAAUGUAUAUAUUUCAUGUGAUUUAUAUCGUACGUUUGUUUGCUUUGAGCUAAGAUGUACAAAUAUGUUACCCAUAAAUCAUGGCAUAAUGUCAAAUGCCCACUUUUGUGAUUUGAUGAGCUCUGAAGCUGUAGCUUGCUUUCAAGUUGAGUGGGUUUUUAAUGCAGUUAAUGAAUUGAGUUGUACAUUGUAUCAAGUCUGGAGUAGGUAAACUAAUCCAUGGAAAAAGAGGGGAGGAUUAGCGCAUCUUCUUCAGAUUAUAUUUUAAAAAAAAAAUUAAAUACGAUUUUGUUGGUGAUGGGAAAAACCCAUUCCACCUGAACUGCAGGCUAUAGAGCUUGUAAAUAAUGCUCCAUUUUAACAUCAAGGAAGCAGGUGGGUGUUACAAAAGUCAAAAUUGAAGUUGAAUAUGAUGUGAUGCAGAUUAGAUUGAUUUUGUAAAGUAUCAAGUAGCUUGUAGUGUGAACCAGUACAACUGAAAUGGUUUUAUGCGUAGCAUACAAAUACAUAUUGACAUGUUUGGGGUAUCUUACAAUACUUAAACUACAUGACUGACUUUUGUAUUACAUUGUUUACCAAAUAUUCAUUGUUAUUAGAGCUUCAGUCUGUACAUAUAUCCAACACAGAUACAUCUAUCAAAUGAUUCCAUGGUCAUGACCAAAUUGUUGAUAACUUUUAACUGUUCCGUGCACUUUUAUGCCUGUCAAGUACAAAAAGAAAAUACUUUGAAGACAUACAAAAUAUCCAGUGUAUAUCUGAAAAGUUGACUUUCAGUGCAUAUGUGCAUUUACUUCAGAUACCAGGGCUAGAAGAUUGCUACAGAUCCAUAGGCAAACUUUGAUAUCUGAAAGGAUAGAAAUAUGGUUGAAUCACAAAGUAUACACUAUAUAUUGGUUAGGAAGUAAGAAUAAUAUCCGAUGCUUACUACAAAGUAGUAAACAGACCUAUGUUUGUUAUGUUCACUGUAAAAAGGUGAUUUCUUUCAAAGAUCAAUGAAGGAAAAAUAUGACUUUACAAAUUAUAUCUGGCUUGGUUAAAAAGCUAGAAUUUGUUUUUUCUAUCUUUGUGACACCACAUGCCAUUGAUGAAUUCAAUAGAAUAAUAAUUAUUUUUCACUCAAAAUGUAACAAAAAUAUGCAGUAUCCUAGUUAUGUAAUGUUUUUCCAUGUUUGUAAUGCUGGCUUUGUUUACACUAUCUCAUUUUCAACCAAACUAUGUAGAGGAUGUUACUGACAUGUGUGAAUGUUGACAGCUGGAUAGCUCAGAUAUUGAUGUUCAUUGAUAUAUAUUGAUAUUGUCAAUUAAAGUUAUAGUAAAUAUACAAA